rnacentral:misc_RNA from 1 species
AGCAGCCGCGGUAAUUCCAGCUCCAAUAGCGUAUAUUAAAGUUGCUGCAGUUAAAAAGCUCGUAGUUGAAUUUCGGGAUCAAUAUGUUGGUCGUGCCUCGGUACGUACUAGCUUAUUGGUUUCUUCCUUCUGACGAACCAUAAUGUCAUUUAUUUGGUGUUAUGGGGAAUCAGGACUGUUACUUUGAAAAAUUAGAGUGUUUAAAGCAGGCUCACGCUUGAAUACAUUAGCAUGGAAUAAUGAAAUAGGACGUUUGAUUCUAUUUUGUUGGUUUCUAGGAUCGACGUAAUGAUUAAUAGGGAUAGUUGGGGGCAUUAGUAUUCAAUUGUCAGAGGUGAAAUUCUUGGAUUUAUUGAAGACUAACUACUGCGAAAGCAUUCGCCAAGGAUGUUUUCAUUAAAUCAAGAACGAAAGUUAGGGGACCGAAGACGAUCAGAUACCGUCGUAGUCUUAACCAUAAAACUAUGCCGACUAGGGAUCGGAUGAUGUUAAUUUUUAAUGUACUCAUUCGGCGCCUUAC